rnacentral:tRNA from 1 species
GGAUGGAAUGCUACAUUUACAUUGGUAAUGGUCGGGA